CUCAUGGUCUGGGGCUCUCCUCACUCCUUGCUGCAGGCACUGGGAGCAGUGGGAACCUGUCCCAAGCCCUGUCCUUUACCUAAAGGUUAACCCAGGCUGUUGUGGGUGGCAGCACAGAGCCAGGCAUUGCUGUGUCCCGUGGCUGCCUGGAGCUGGGCUCAAUGCAUGCAGAGGGCUUUGCUGAACCCCCUGUUUUGCAGACCCCCUCCAUUACAGCCCCCAUUGCAGCUUGCAGGGAAAGGCUCCCCCUCCUGUCCCAACUGCUCCAAACUGGUCUGCUCUUCCCAAACCCCCUUGCUUGGUCUGUGGGGACAUUCCUGGACACAGACUCCUCUUUCCAUAGCAGGACAGACGGGCGAUGCUGCGAGGCAGCCCCAGCACAGCACCCCGAGGAGGAUGUGCUGCCCUGUGUGCCAGGCACCCAUGGAUGCCCCCUCAUCUGAUGGAGCCACAUGCGAGCAUGGCCCUGGUGCUACAUCAUCCCCAGGCUCCCACACUGGUCCCCGAGCCCAGAAGCUGGAGCAACCUGGACUUUGGUACUUGGCCAGCCCCGGUACCAGCGCUGCCAUCGGCUGCCUGGCGCCAGUCCCCAUCGUGCCUUAUGCACCCUCUGUGCUCUACUGCUCCCCAGUGGUACCUACCUCACCCCACACUGUAGGGCAGCGUGGGGCAGAGCAUCCCCCCCGUUCCCCUGCUGUUGGUGCCCACCGCUGCCUCCCCCUGGAUCUGGAGGAGCUGGACUGGUCCCUGAGCAGGGCCAUGGCUGCUGCCCGCAGCGUGAGGGUCACCACCACCCGCAUGAGCAGGGUGCUGGCAGCUGAGCUGAGCCAGGCACGGAGCCUGCGCCACUCCUGCCUCUUCUGAGCAUCCUGCAGCCCCUCCUGCCCCUGCAGAAGGAGGAGGAGGAGGAUGGUGUCCCCCUUCAUCGGCAUCCCUGCACUGGAUGCUCCCUGAACAUCUGGUGGCACAGGGGCUGGAGGCAUCGCUGUCCUGGCAGCCAUCUCCAUCCUGCUUGCUUAGACCUUCUGCAUCACCUUGUCCAUCUGUGCACUUUCAGGACCAGCCACACUGCAGGAGUUGGAGCAAGACAGGGGCAGAAGUCCCCUGAGAGCUGCAGCAUCCCAUGGGAUACAGCCCCACUAGGAUCACACCAUCCCCUGGCACCAAUGGGGUGACCCCAUGUCCCCUAGGUCAGACACCCCCCCUGAGCUGAGCACUUGUGGGGCUGCUCUGAGUUGUGUAGGUCCUACCAGUGGCAGCUGUGUUUACCUCCAUGCCUGCAUAGGCAGAAAUACAUGCAAUUCCCUAAGUUAAGUCCUUUCCCAGGCUUUAGGCUUCUUUUGGGGGGGUCAUAUCCAGGCUUUGCUCUGGGUGCCCCUCUCCACCCUCUGCUCUGCCCAUGGACUUGAACCCAGCUGGGUUUUUCCCUGGAAAACUGCUUCUUUUUGUGAUUUUCAUAUGAAUUUAUUCUCCUUUAAGGUAGCUAGAAACAGCCCAAUCACUCUAAGGGCUGACUGACGGUAUAGCAUGUGUGUGUGUGUGUGUAUAUGUAUCUAUAUAGAGAUACAGUAUAUCUAGAUAUGUAUCUAUAGAUAUAUCCAGAUAUGUGUCUAUAUAGUAUAUACAGAAAUGUUUCUGUAUAUAGUUAUGGUAUAUAUAGAUAUGUAUCUGUAGCUAUAGUAUAUAUAGAUAUGCAUCUAUAUAUAGAUACAUAUAUAUAUGUUCCAAUUUUAAUUUCAAGCAUAAUCCUUAGGGCAUUUUUAUGGGGUGUUUUUGGCCACCCCCGUCUCAUCCUCCCAGAAACCGAGAAGGAUUUGGGCUCUUCCUUGGCAUUCCCAGGGGAUCUGUGCUCUGGGCAAUCACC
rnacentral:lncRNA from 14 species